AACGCACAUUGCGCCCCCUGGUAUUCCGGGGGGCAUGCCUGUUCGAGCGUCAUUACAACCCUCAAGCUCUGCUUGGUAUUGGGCUCUGCCGGUCCCGGCAGGCCUUAAAAUCAGUGGCGGUGCCAUUCGGCUUCAAGCGUAGUAAUUCUUCUCGCUUUGGAGACCCGGGUGCGUGCUAGCCAGCAACCCCCAAUUUUUUUCAGGUUGACCUCGGAUCAGGUAGGGAUACCCGCUGAACUUAA
rnacentral:misc_RNA from 1 species